AGCUUCAUAGUCUUCAUCAAGAUCCUUAUUAUUUCUUGCUAUUUGUGAACCUCCCUGCUUUCAAGUCCUCUUCAAUUGUUUCUUCAGGCCAGACAUUCCAUAUGAGAAGGACUGAGAGUUCAAGGAUGCUGCAAUUAACGGCCUGGACAGAGGAUGGGGACAUGAAUAAUGGUAGAGUCCAGCAUUAGCACAACACUCCAUUCAUCACUGCUGAAGGGCAAAUGCAUAACCCUCAAAAUGAUCCUGGAAAGAGGAAAAGGGAGAGGAAUUGCAAGUUCCAUGGAACAGUGAUUUACCAUGCAGCAGAGGAUGUGAGCAUCUCCGAAAUAGAAGGGUCCACAUAUUUUGAACUUUAACAUAUAUAAUGAUACUUAUAAUGUGACUGUUACGGGCAGCUGAUUUUUCAUACAAUUGACAUGAGACCCAUCUGAUGAAGUGGCACUCCCAAAGAAAAGAUAAAGUCAAAUCUGGCUGGCCAGUUACAACUUCAGAGCUCUUUCAUAACUUUCUGAGGUUGUAGAUAAAUUGGACCUUCGCAGAAGACCGUGGCUGUGGACAAGUAAACAAUUCCUAUCAUACAUUUCUCACUGGAGGGAAAGUUAAAAGUUAGAUUCAAUAAAAG
rnacentral:lncRNA from 1 species